AUUUCUCUGAGAUGUUCGCAAGCGGGCCAGUCCCCUGAGCCGAUAUUUCGGUCCGUCCGAGAAGCCUUAAAACUGCGACGACACAUUCACCUUGAACCAAGGGUUCAAGGGUUACAGCCUGCGGCGGCAUCUCGGAGAUUCC
rnacentral:other from 1 species